rnacentral:rRNA from 1 species
UACGAGGGCCUCAAGCGUUAUCCGGAAUCAUUGGGCGUAAAGGAUGCGUAGGUGGUCAUAUUAGUCUCUUGUUAAAUUCUUCGGCUUAACCGGGGGCAUGCAAGGGAAACGGUAUGACUUGAGGAUGCGAGGGGUCUGCGGAACUCAUAGUGUAGCGGUGAAAUGCGUUGAUAUUAUGGGGAACACCAGAAGCGAAGGCAGCAGACUGGAGCACUCCUGACACUGAAACAUGAAAGCGUGGGUCGCGAAUGGG